CUACAGGCUUAACACAUGCAAGUCGAGGGGCAGCAUGGUCUUAGCUUGCUAAGACUGAUGGCGACCGGCGCACGGGUGAGUAACACGUAUCCAACCUGCCGUCUACUCUUGGACAGCCUUCUGAAAGGAAGAUUAAUACAAGAUGGCAUCAUGAGUCCGCAUGUUCACAUGAUUAAAGGUAUUCCGGUGGACGAUGGGGAUGCGUUCCAUUAGAUAGUAGGCGGGGUAACGGCCCACCUAGUCUUCGAUGGAUAGGGGUUCUGAGAGGAAGGUCCCCCACAUUGGAACUGAGACACGGUCCAAACUCCUACGGGAGGCAGCAGUGAGGAAUAUUGGUCAAUGGGCGAGAGCCUGAACCAGCCAAGUAGCGUGAAGGAUGACUGCCCUAUGGGUUGUAAACUUCUUUUAUAAAGGAAUAAAGUCGGGUAUGGAUACCCGUUUGCAUGUACUUUAUGAAUAAGGAUCGGCUAACUCCGUGCCAGCAGCCGCGGUAAUACGGAGGAUCCGAGCGUUAUCCGGAUUUAUUGGGUUUAAAGGGAGCGUAGAUGGAUGUUUAAGUCAGUUGUGAAAGUUUUGCGGCUCAACCGUAAAAAUUGCAGUUGAUACUGGAUAUCUUGAGUGCAGUGAGGGCAGGCGGAAUUCGUGGUGUAGCGGUGAAAUGCUUAGAUAUCACGAAGAACUCCGAUUGCGAAGGCAGCCUGCUAAGCUGCAACUGACAUUGAGGCUCGAAAGUGUGGGUAUCAAACAGGAUUAGAUACCCUGGUAGUCCACACGGUAAACGAUGAAUACUCGCUGUUUGCGAUAUACUGCAAGCGGCCAAGCGAAAGCGUUAAGUAUUCCACCUGGGGAGUACGCCGGCAACGGUGAAACUCAAAGGAAUUGACGGGGGCCCGCACAAGCGGAGGAGCAUGUGGUUUAGUUCGAUGAUACGCGAGGAACCUUACCCGGGCUUAAAUUGCAGAUGAAUUACGGUGAAAGCCGUAAGCCGCAAGGCAUCUGUGAAGGUGCUGCAUGGUUGUCGUCAGCUCGUGCCGUGAGGUGUCGGCUUAAGUGCCAUAACGAGCGCAACCCUUGUUGUCAGUUACUAACAGGUUCCGCUGAGGACUCUGACAAGACUGCCAUCGUAAGAUGUGAGGAAGGUGGGGAUGACGUCAAAUCAGCACGGCCCUUACGUCCGGGGCUACACACGUGUUACAAUGGGGGGUACAGAGGGCCGCUACCACGCGAGUGGAUGCCAAUCCCCAAAACCUCUCUCAGUUCGGACUGGAGUCUGCAACCCGACUCCACGAAGCUGGAUUCGCUAGUAAUCGCGCAUCAGCCACGGCGCGGUGAAUACGUUCCCGGGCCUUGUACACACCGCCCGUCAAGCCAUGGGAGCCGGGGGUACCUGAAGUGCGUAACCGCGAGGAGCGCCCUAGGGUAAAACUGGUGACUGGGGCUAA
rnacentral:rRNA from 1 species